rnacentral:lncRNA from 1 species
UCACAGCAUUUGGAAGUUCCCAGCCUAGGGGUCGAAUCAGAGCUGCAGCUGCUGGCCACAGCCAUAGCAACACCAGAUCUGAGCUGCAUCGGCAACAUACACCACGGCUCACGUCAACACCAGAUCCUUAACCCUCUGAGCAGGGCCAGGGAUAGAACCCAUGUUUUCAUGGAUGCCAGUCAGGUUCAUUACUGCUGAGCCACAACGGGAACUCCCAGAGCUAUUAUUUUAAGAGUAUCUGUUGCUACUUGCCUUUGGAAGAGAUGAAUAAUUGAAGAUAAAAUUCUUAUACUUUACCCCAAAACUUCCUUAAUUUGCCAGAUACUCCAUCUUCAAGACAAAAUCCUUACUUAAGCAAGCCAAGUAAAAUUCAUUACUCUGAAAAGUAGUGGGAUAACUAUUUUGAACUUUUUUUAAAAAUAAUAAACUUUGUUUUAAAGGAUCUAAACAGAGUAACAAAGUAUUUUCCUGGAUGCUGGGUGCACAAAAUAAAAAACUUUACCAGCUCAGAUAUUUUCACUGUUUUCUUUUUUACACCAGGAAGUAAACAGAAAAUAGACACUUUAAAUUUAAAUAUAUUGUGUACUAUUUUAUGUCGAGGACAAAAAUGCUUCAUCUUAGUGACAGUUACUAUACGUGCUACACUUCUAUGGCAUAAGGACAGAAUUUAUAGUGGUUUUGUUAGAUAAUAAAAUCCUGAUAAACAAGAGAAGAAAUGCAAUUUAUGAAACAGUAACAUCCAUUACUAACCACUUUGGACCUUCUCAAGAUUUCACUGGUCAAUGGAAAGGAAAAUUGUUAUACACUCACGAGCAAGUAAUUUUGCUUACUGGGUCUCAAGAACACACACAUAAUAAAGUAUUUUACUCAUUAGUUUUAUUUAUCUGUAAACUCUUACUAGUUUUAUUUAUCUAUAAAUUCUUUGUAGGCAAAGACUUUGGUAUCAUAACAUCCAUUCACCUAUGAUAGGUGGCCAGAAAAGUAAUGUUCAGAAUGCAAGAUGACAAAGGUUCUCUCCAGUCUUUUCAAUCUUCAAGUUGAAAUUUUUUAAGUCCAAUCUCUGAGUAAGUCCAUAAAAUGCAGUAGAACAAAUAACAGGGUGAGAGGCCCAUAAAAGUGUGGUAGAAUGAAUUGAAGACCAUAAGAGAAAGAAAUGAUUUGCACAGUUGAAGAUUAGUAGAACUAUCUGCUUUUAUCUUUUUUGUUUCCAGAGGAUUCCAAAGACAUAAAUUAAGAUAUGAGAAGAUAAAUUAGAUCAGUUACACUUUAAAAUUGUUUUUUGAUAAAUAUAAGCAGUUCCAAGCUUCGAUUACCUACUUUAUUAAAGCACUGCUUCCAUUACACUUUACCAAAACUCUACUAAAAACUCUAGUUCUAAACCUGGUAGAAGAGUCAACAGAUAGUUUCUCUUUCAGAAAUUUUUUCUUCUGUUUCUUCUAGUUAAAACCUUCAUAGACUGUCUAAUCACGAUUUGACAUAAUCAUAAAAUCAAAACUUCCUUAAUUUCUAUUAAAAAAUGUUUACACUCUUUAGAUAAAAAAAACUAAUACUUAGAAAUUCACACCUGGACAAUCUCCCUUAAGAUAUCCAAAUACAGAAAAAAAAAAUCUGAGGGCCACAAAAUGUCUAUCAUAGAAUAACUUACAAUAGCAAAUUGCUAGAAACAAUCAAAAAUUAUUAAAAUAAGGAUGAUUACAUAAAUUAUGGCAUACCAAAUUGAUCUUCUAUUUUGAAGCUAUUCAAAAUGAUGGACAUAAAACCCAAGUGGUGACAUGGAAAUGAUUUGUUUGAAAAAAAAAAUUGGAAAAUAGGCUGGAAGGCAGUAUGCUAUCCUCUGAAAAAGCAACAGUUUGAACCAAACAAUGCAAGAACACAAAAACAAAACUGCUCAUAAGACAGAAAAAUUAAAGAUGCAUUUUUAACUAAGACAGGUGAGUUAUCCUCAAAGUAUUGUCUUCCCAAUCUUAGAUCUGUUAUCACUGAAUACUUAAGAAAAAAACUCUUGUAUAAAAAUACAAAUAAAGUUAUUCAAAGUUUUUAAAACCUUGUUUUAUUACACUUGGAAUCUUGUCACUGAGUUAAAUGCAAAAAAUUUGACGUUAAAUGGUUACACAAAACUAUACUUACUCUUUAUUUAUGAAUAUCAGCCAAAAUAGAUCUUUUAAAAAACACAUUCCACUGCUACAUCAGGUUGAAAAGAAUCCAGAGUGAAAACAAAGAAUUGUGUCAGACUCAGUAGCUUUAGCAAUAGAAGCACAAAAAUGAGUCUCGAAAAAUAUAUAUAUAAUAAUUUUAAUUGUGCCAUUUAAAGAUUUUAUCUUAUUUUCACUUUUUUUUUUUUAGGGCCACACCCAUGGCAAAGGGAGGUUCCCAGGCUAGGGCCCUAAAAAGCAAAAAAAAAAAAAAAGUUUUCAACUCCUAAAUUUUCUCUAACAGUAUUUCACAUAAGCAUGUAUGACUAUGUUCCGUAUUAUUCCAUGAAAGCUGUAAACGCAAAAUAUUUCUGAGGCAGAAACCAAUCCGCAAGAGUUACCUAUUAAAGGCCGAUCAUGGUGAGUUAAGAAGGCAAUCAAUUUUUUAAAGUCUCUCUCAAUCAAAAGACACUAAGUUUCCUACUACUGGGUACAUCCCACUUGUUUUUAAAAUUUUCUAUUAGUUUCAAAGAAUACCACACACUCACACACACAAACACCCCAUUAUCUAAUUCAUAUUCAUAUCUAAUUCAUAACUUUCAAUUCUAAUUCAGAGUUUUAAGCACAGAAAGGGAUUUUAAGCAUUAAAAUCAAAAGAACUCCAUUUUUUAUAGACUGCCAUCUCUGUUUUAUAAAAUAAGGGAUUUUAAGUUUAAAUUAUAAUUAUAUUCAGGAGCCCCAUACUCACCCUUUCCAAACAUAGCUCUUUUUAUAAUAAUGUCUGACAAUCCUCUGGAUAACAAAAAUUCCAAGUGUCAUCAAAAUUAAAGGCUAGAACUAUUUCCUGGGAAAUGUAAUUCAAGGUAAACAACCUCUCCCUUACUUGAGACUGUUCUAUUCACGCAAAACUCUGUGGCUUGAAAAAAUGAUGAAAUAUAAUACUUUUCUCUUCUGGGUGGUUUUUUACAAUUUAGAUGAAGCUGAUAGCCAAAGAAAGCAUACAAAGAAUGUGAAAAGAAUGUGUAGGCUUGGUCGUUCAUCUUCCUAAAAGACAGAUGCUGACCAGUAGGGCUGCCAGCUACUAAACAGUACGUUUCUCAUUCCUGCAAACACACCCCUACUCCCACACGCCCAUAAAAUAGAAUCACAACCCUAUUCCCCACUUGGAGAAUGUGAACUUAAUUCAAUGAUUUUUAAUUUGUCUACUAUGUGCUAGGCACCAACAGAAUAAAGCAUGACUAGGCAACACUACUUGCCCCCAGAGGAGCUUCACACUCAUCUGAGGUCACGAUCUGGCAGCAAUGGAACAAUGGGCACAGCCUCAAAUCAAAGUGGGGUCCAGCAGUGCCAAACAGCUCUCCAGGCCUCAGCCCAGGGCAGACUUAUCUUUUUGGUGUUUGUUUGUUUGUUUGUUUGUUUUGCUUUUCAGUACCUCACUUGCAGCAUAUGAAGGUUCCCAGGCUAGGAGUCCAAUUGGAGCUGCAGCUGCCGACCUAUACCACAGCCAUAGCAACGCAGAAUCCAAGCCACAUCUAUGACCUACAGCUCAUAGCAAUGCCGGAUCCUUAACCCAAUGAGCAAGGCCAGGGAUCUAACUUUGCAUCCUCAUGGAUACUGGUCGGGUUCGUUACCUCUGAGCCACAACAGGAACUCCUGAGGCUCAUCUUAAACCAUGCUGUUCUGCACCCCAACAUCUAUUCUUCUUCUGGAAUCUCCUCCCCUCGGGGCUUAUCUCCUCCCCUAGCUAUUCUAUCCACAUAAUCCACAGCUAAUCCCCUCAUCUUUGCUCUUCAGAAAUGGUUCUUCCCAGUUGCCCUUAGGUUCCCCACCUCAGGCACUCUCUCUGCCUCGGUUCUUCUUACACCUCCUCAAAACUGCACACCCAGACUUGGCUGACGUGGGGGGAGAAAACUUGUGUCUGCACAUCAUGUCAGAGAAAGACAAGUACAUAGCUAACGAGAAAACAAGGCAGGUGAAAGUACUUGCAGGCAUUGUGGUCUGAGCUAGUUAUCAUGGGAAUGUCCAAAGAAACACAGUUAAGUGCUCACUGCAGAGGACAGAUUCCCUUUUGGGCACCAUCUACCAUGUGACACAAAUCGGUCCCAAGAUAGUCUUCAUGCAGUUUUUCUACAGGAAGUUUUAUCAAAAACUGUUUCAAGUUUUUGCCUUUUCAAAACUAGUUUCAAUCGCUGGAAGUAACUUUACAGACAUGCAUUUGAGAACUUCAUCAUUUGCAGUUGACUGAUUUUCUAGACCUUCCAAAUACUGGAUUUUACCCCUUUAAUGACCCCCUGCUCCCAAUAUAAACUUUCAUCAAUGCCAGGAGAUUGGAUGAAAUAACCCUGAAACCAGCCAUCAGACUAAGGAAGGCUACAAGGUACACCUCUAACCUUUAGUAACGGCCUAUGCUGAUGAGAAGGCCCAGAUGUUCCUUACAAUCUAUUUGUAGAGACCUCAAAGAAUUGCCAGCUACCAGCCAAAAAAAAAAAAAAAAGUCUGGUACAAAUAAAGUCAGACUAGAUGCAUCUAAUGAGGCACAUAAUACUUCAAUGCUGAAUGUAAAGACUAACCAAAUUUUCUAAGUUACAUGCCAGGAGGUUCUUUAUAAAUCAUAGGAGGAAAAGUGUUUUUAACCUUAAAUGAUCCCAUAUUAUUAACUGCUGCCAUCCAAGCAAGUCCUUUGAAUUGAGAAGCCAAAUUGAGCCGGCUGGGUCCUAGUGAUAAUUACCAUUUAAAUACAACAGAACAAAAGCCUCUAUGUUGACAAGAACAACAUCAAAGAGGAACACAACCAUCUAGAAUGUCUCCAUUACGUAUCACUUUGAAAGCACAAUUUGAAACCCACAAUUUACUGAGCAUUUUUCAUUUCACUUUCUCUUUCCAGAACAGCCAACACAACAGUUAAACCAGUUAGUGAAAACAUAUGCAGAUAAUAGCAUGAACUGUUUAUAAGACGAAGAUUUAAAGAUCAUCUCAUUCAAUCCUCUUCUUUUGAAAGGUGAGAAAAUGAAACCUAGAAAGGGUGAGUCACACAAGACCACACAAGAUAUUAGACACAAAAUUCUUCUAUUUAUACCUAUGCUCCAUGACGUAGGCCAUUUUUCAAAUACAAUAGAGUAAGUUAUUUUGUCAAUCUAUCCAAGCACCACACUACCUUCAAAAUAAUAU